rnacentral:rRNA from 1 species
AGUGGCGGACGGGUGAGUAACGCGUGAGUAACCUGCCUUACACAAGGGGAUAGCCGUUGGAAACGACGAAUAAUACCCUAUGACAUAAACUCUUCGCAUGAAGAACUUAUCAAAGAUUUAUCGGUGUAAGAUGGACUCGCGUCCGAUUAGCUAGUUGGUGAGGUAACGGCCCACCAAGGCGACGAUCAGUAGCCGGCUUGAGAGAGUGUACGGCCACAUUGGGACUGAGACACGGCCCAGACUCCUACGGGAGGCAGCAGUC